rfam:Erinaceus europaeus unplaced genomic scaffold scaffold00087, whole genome shotgun sequence
UGAGGUGGUUGACCAGUGACCACACGCUGUACUUGUGACGUUUGUGACCUGGUCCACUAGCCCU